rnacentral:rRNA from 1 species
UUCCGGUUGAUCCUGCCGGACCCGACUGCUAUCAGAAUAGGACUAAGCCAUGCGAGUCAACGUAGCAAUACGUGGCAUACGGCUCAAUAACACGUAGUCAACAUGCCCAGGGGACGUGGAUAACCUCGGGAAACUGAGGAUAAACCGCGAUAGGCCAUAAUGUCUGGAAUGAUUUAUGGCUCAAAUCUAUAUGGCCCCUGGAUUGGACUGCGGCCGAUCAGGCUGUUGGUGAGGUAAUGGCCCACCAAACCUAAAACCGGUACGGGCUCUGAGAGGAGAAGCCCGGAGACGGGCACUGAGACAAGGGCCCAGGCCCUAUGGGGCGCAGCAGGCGCGAAACCUCUGCAAUAAGCGAAAGCUUGACAGGGUUAUUCUGAGUGAUUUCCGCUAAGGAAGUCUUUUGGCACCUCUAAAAAUGGUGCAGAAUAAGGGGUGGGCAAGCCUGGUGUCAGCCGCCGCGGUAAUACCAGCACCCCGAGUGGUCGGGACGAUGAUUGGGCCUAAAGCAUCC